rnacentral:rRNA from 1 species
UACGUAGGGUGCAAGCGUUGUCCGGAAUUAUUGGGCGUAAAGAGCUCGUAGGCGGUCUGUUGCGUCGGCUGUGAAAACCCGGGGCUCAACUCCGGGCCUGCAGCCGAUACGGGCAGACUAGAGUUCGGCAGGGGAGACUGGAAUUCCUGGUGUAGCGGUGAAAUGCGCAGAUAUCAGGAGGAACACCGGUGGCGAAGGCGGGUCGCUGGGCAGGUCCUGACGCUGAGGUGCGAAAGCGUGGGGAGCAAACAGG